AUCUAUGGCCAUGCUACCAUGAACAAGCCCGAUCUCAUCUGAUCUCAGAAGUUAAGCAGGGUUGGACCUGGUUAGUAAUUGGAUGGGAGACCACCUAGGAAGACCAGGUGCUGUAGGCA
rnacentral:rRNA from 1 species